AACCAUAAAGGAAAGAACAGCAGGAAGGCUCACACAGAAAUGCCGCCUGAUGAUGGGAACCGUGAUCCUGGAGGCUCCCUGGGUGGCCCAGGCUUCAUACCCAUGGCCUCCAUCGAUGGUGGCCCCGUGGGAGAGCUGGUGAGCCUGGCGCAGAGAGGUGACUGCGAAAUCCCGCUCUGUCUUAACGUUCUCUGAUCCCAGACCUAAAAAAAUUAACCUCGCCACUGUAUCAGAAAACGGACUGUUGGUUUACCAACAUUUACCCAAUCUGGAGGAGGCUCAUGCUGCCAGAGUUGUACCUUUGACCCAGGUUCCACGCCCCAGAAAGGCUUGAAAACCGCGCGUCUGCGUCAGUAACCGGGAGGCCUUGUUGCCGCUUGUCCCAUUUGCAGACCCUCUCGUUUCCCAGCCGCAGGAAGGCGCCCUCGAACUUGCGGCAGGACGGAAGCCGGGACCUUGAUGAUGAUCCCGCGUCACCAGUGUUCUGCCAACCUCGAUCGCCAGCUCCUUGCACGGCGUUCCUCGUUUCCUGGCGUGGGCCUCUCUCGGGCUGACGCCACACUGUGGGCAUCCGUAGGGCCCGGAGCAUCCCUCCUCCCUGCCCCUCUUUGUGUGAUUGGAUCUGGAAGGACUGGUAGAAGUGGUCUGGGUGGACCGAGAGGGUGGGAGGUAGGGAGGUGAUACCGAGCCUUCUUUUUUUUUUUUAAAGAUUUUAUUUAUUCAUUUGAGACACAGA